CAGAGCGGGUGCUUUGAUCCUCGCCGAGGCCAGGCUGCAACAUCUUGGUCCCUGCGCCAACCGCUGUCCUGGCGAGGCUCCAGGCGUGGGUGGCCUCGCGUGCAGGGAGCCCCGCCGCCCCCGCCACACGAAAGGCGGGACUGGAGCUGUCUCCUCCCGGAGGGGCGACGCUGGAGCGCAGCCCGGCAGACGCACACUCGGCUUCCAGCUAGGAUCCUGGGAGCCACACAAAGGAAAUGGCAAGAUCGUGAGUCACCCCGAGGCCCGGCUGCUGCCUGGGCUGCAGGCCCACAACAGGACCUUUGUGCCGCGCUCCAGGAGGACGAGGGGGCCGUGCUGCAGAGAGGCAGACAUUUCAGGGCGCUGAGUAAUGCUCCGAGAGGGGAGGCAUCGCCGCCGGCAGCGGGACUGGCUCCUGGGCGCCCACCACAACGCCAAGGGACCCAGGCGCCGCUUAGAGGGAGCCCCCUGCCGCCAUCUUGUCACACCGCUUGUCCCUGGACUGGCUGUGUGCAAUGCUAUGAUGGCAGUACAGCAGCACAGUAAUGAGGAAGUGACUGAUACAGCAGGGGCCAGGUCACAGAGAACCUUGAAUGCCAGUGAAAGGCUUUGGAUUUUAGCAUGUAAGUAAUAGAAGGGGAG
rnacentral:lncRNA from 1 species